rfam:Spizellomyces punctatus DAOM BR117 chromosome Tnknown supercont1.1, whole genome shotgun sequence.
GCCCGGUUAGCUCAAUCGGCAGAGCGUGAGGCUCUUAACCUCAAGGUUGCGGGUUCGACCCCCGCAUCGGGCU